rnacentral:sRNA from 1 species
GCUGGGCAUGGUAGCACGUGCCUGUAAUCCCAGCAGCUCAGGAGGCUGAGGCAGGAGGAUCACUCAAAGCCAGCCUCAG